CCCGCUCAGAAACUACAAAGGAAUUGACGGGGACCCGCACAAGCGGUGGAGUAUGUGGUUUAAUUCGAUGCAACGCGAAGAACCUUACCUGGUCUUGACAUCCCGGAGACCCUUAGGAAACUAGGGGGUGCUUCCAUCUGGAAGAAUCUGGAGACAGGUGCUGCAUGGCUGUCGUCAGCUCGUGUCGUGAGAUGUUGGGUUAAGUCCCGCAACGAGCGCAACCCUUGCCUUUAGUUGCCAGCAGUUCGGCUGGGCACUCUAAAGGGACUGCCGGUGUUAAACCGGAGGAAGGUGGGGAUGACGUCAAGUCCUCAUGGCCUUUAUGACCAGGGCUACACACGUACUACAAUGGCCGAUACAAAGGGCAGCGACACUGCGAGGUGAAGCCAAUCCCGUAAAAUCGGUCUCAGUCCGGAUUGGAGUCUGCAACUCGACUCCAUGAAGCUGGAAUCGCUAGUAAUCGCAGAUCAGCCAAGCUGCGGUGAAUACGUUCCCGGGCCUU
rnacentral:rRNA from 1 species